GCUAGUCUGGAGCAGCUAUCAUGAAGUAGCUAGUCUGGAGCAGGUAUUAUGGAACAGCUAGUCUGGAGCAGGUAUUAUGGAGUAGCUAGUCUGGAGCAGCUAUCAUGGAGCAGUCAUCAUGGAGCAGCUAGUCUGGAGCAGGUAUUAUGGAGCAGCUAGUCUGGAGCAGUUAUCAUGAAGUAGCUAGUCUGGAGCAGGUAUUAUGGAGCAGCUAGUCUGGAGCAGUCAUCAUGGAGCAGCUAUUAUGGAACAGCUAGUCUGGAUUAGUUAUCAUGGAGCAGCUAUCAUGGAGCAGUUAGUCUGGAUUAGUUAUCAUGGAGCAGCUAUCAUGGAGCAGUUAGUCUGGAUUAGUUAUCAUGGAGCAGCUAUCAUGGAGCAGUUAGUCUGGAUUAGUUAUCAUGGAGCAGCUAUCAUGGAGCAGUUAGUCUGGAUUAGUUAUCAUGGAGCAGCUAUCAUGGAGCAGUUAGUCUGGAUUAGUUAUCAAGGAGCAGCUAUCAUGGAGCAGUUAGUCUGGAUUAGUUAUCAUUGAGCAGCUAUCAUGGAGCAGUUAGUCUGGAUUCGUUAUCAUUGAGCAGCUAGUCUGGAUUAAUUAUCAUGGAGCACUUAUCAUGAAACAGCUAGUCUGGAGCAACUAUCAUGAAGCAGUUAUCAUGGCGCAGCUAGUCUGGAGCAGUUAUCAUGGAGCAGCUAGUCUGGAGCUGUUAUCAUGGAGCAGCUAUCAUGAAGCAGCUAGUCUGGAGCAGUUAUCAUGGAGCAGCUAGUCUGGAGCUGUUAUCAUGGAGCAGCUAUCAUGAAGCAGCUAGUCUGGAGCAGUUAUCAUGGAGCAGCUAUCAUGAAGCAGCUAGUCUGGAGCUGUUAUCAUGGAGCAGCUAUCAUGGAGCAGCUAUCAUGAAACAGCUAGUCUGGAGCAGUUAUCAUGGGGCAGUUAUCAUGAAGAAGCUAGUCUGGAGCAGUUAUCAUGGAGCAGCUAUCAUGAAGCAGCUAGUCUGGAGCAGUUAUCAUGGAGCAGCCUCAGAGCAGUGAGUGCUACAGCAGAGAAAGACCAAAGUCGGUGAGGCGUAAAGCAGAGCGGAGGCAGGAAGCUAAAGGCAUCAUGUAUGAAUUGAGGCAGAAGGAGCUGUGGUACUGAGGGGAAUGAUUCUGCUGUUUUAAAGUAGGUAAUUGGUCAUCACUUAACUGAUACAGCAUGAAUGUGAAAUAACAUAUAUUAUCAAUCAAAUGUAUUUUAUAUAGCUCUUUUUACAUUAAAAACAUAUGGAUGUGUUCUCUAUGUCUCAGUUCAUACUUAGAAUUGA
rnacentral:lncRNA from 1 species